rnacentral:lncRNA from 1 species
ACACUAAAGAGCCCAAUUUAGACUAAACAUUUCGCCAAGUACACUAAAGGGACCCUGCCCAAAUUGCAUAAGGGUGCGUGAGCAAAUGUCCUACUUCCCUUUGGUAGUCAUAAUUGCGUAAUGUUAAAGCAUAGUGAGGAAAUCAAGGCACUACUCUUGACUGCACCAAAAUGUGUGUGAAUACUUUAGUGGUUCCUCAAGCUUAGGGGUGUGGUUAUAGCUUUAAACCAGUGAGUUGAGUGUCAAACCUCAAAGAAGAAAUCUUGAAGUGCAAGUGAGAUGAAAAGAUUAAGAAAAUGCAUGAAAUUGGUGGUAAAAAAUAACACUUUCUUGAAUUCUUGGUUUAGGCAAAGUGGUGGUUGCAAUGUUGUUAAGUGAAAAGCAAUAAUUGGUUAAAAUGUAGUAACUUGUAACUAAUAGUUGAGGAAGGGGAGAUCCUUAGGGUCCCUUCCUUACCUUGGAAUGAUUCUUGUCAUUAAUAUACCAUCUAGAAGUGUUUACUUAUCAAUUGAAUCCCCUAUGCACAACCCUACUUUUCUUGAACAAAUGUUGUGAUUUGAAAAUUGUUGUUUUGAGCUUAUACAAGGUUGUUCCAAGUUAAAAUGGCUCUCAUUAAAU